GAUGAACGCUGGCGGCGUGCCUAAUACAUGCAAGUCGAGCGAACGGACGAGAAGCUUGCUUCUCUGAUGUUAGCGGCGGACGGGUGAGUAACACGUGGAUAACCUACCUAUAAGACUGGGAUAACUUCGGGAAACCGGAGCUAAUACCGGAUGAUAUUUUGAACCGCAUGGUUCAAAAGUGAAAGACGGUCUUGCUGUCACUUAUAGAUGGAUCCGCGCUGCAUUAGCUAGUUGGGAAGGUAACGGCUUACCAAGGCAACGAUGCAUAGCCGACCUGAGAGGGUGAUCGGCCACACGGGAACUGAGACACGGUCCAGGCUCCGACGGGAGGCAGCAGUAGGGAAUCUUCCGCAAUGGGCGAGAGCCUGACGGAGCAACGCCGCGUGAGUGAUGAAGGUCUUCGGAUCGUAAAACUCUGUUAUUAGGGAAGAACAUAUGUGUAAGUAACUGUGCACAUCUUGACGGUACCUAAUCAGAAAGCCACGGCUAACUACGUG
rnacentral:rRNA from 1 species